UACGUAGGGUGCAAGCGUUAAUCGGAAUUACUGGGCGUAAAGCGUGCGCAGGCGGUUUUGUAAGUCAGGGGUGAAAUCCCCGGGCUCAACCUGGGAACUGCAUUUGUGACUGCAAGGCUAGAGUACGGCAGAGGGGGAUGGAAUUCCGCGUGUAGCAGUGAAAUGCGUAGAUAUGCGGAGGAACACCAAUGGCGAAGGCAAUCCCCUGGGCCUGUACUGACGCUCAUGCACGAAAGCGUGGGGAGCAAACAGG
rnacentral:rRNA from 1 species